GGGCUUGUGGUUUAGUGGUAUAAUUUUCCCUUAGCAUUUGCGUGCUUUACAGCACUGCGGAAGCGUGGGAAAGGUCCUGGGUUCGAUUCCCAGCAAGUCCA